GACGAACGCUGGCGGCGUGCUUAACACAUGCAAGUCGAACGAAGUGGCGAACGGGUGAGUAAUACUUGGGUAACCUGCCCUCCUUUUUGGGAUAAGCCUUGGUAACGGGGUCUAAUACCGACUAAAGGGGGAUGGUCUCGCGGCCUAUCAGCUUGUUGGUGGGGUGAUGGCCUACCAAGGCGGUGACUGGUAGCCGGCCUGAGCGGGUGACCGGCCACAUUGGGACUGAGAUACGGCCCAGACUCCUACGGGAGGCAGCAGUGGGGGAUAUUGGACAAUGGGCGAAAGCCUGAUGCAGCCAUGCCGAGUGUAUGAAGAAGGCCUUCGGGUUGUAAAGUACUUUCGGCGGGAAGACGUUACCCGCAGAAGAAGCACCGGCUAACUCCGUGCCAGCAGCCGCGGUAAUUC
rnacentral:rRNA from 1 species